CCGCGCAGCCGGGGAGAUAGCGGUGCCCUGUACCUGCAAUCCGCUCUAGCAGGGGUGAUGUCUUACCCCGGGUAUGUUAUUGCAGAGCUGCCCUUUGUAAGUGGCGAUGACGUUUGGGUCUUACGCAACGGGAAUUCAUGAACCGUGUCAGGACAGGAAUGUAGCAGCACUAAGUGAAACCUUCCGUGUGCCGUGAGGCUGCCUGGACUGAGUUAACUGCAGAGGUAACGUCUGUGAUAGCUAUUCAAAGUAAGACGCGCGG
rfam:Clostridium hathewayi WAL-18680 genomic scaffold supercont1.5, whole genome shotgun sequence.